rnacentral:rRNA from 1 species
AUUGAACGCUGGCGGCAUGCUUUACACAUGCAAGUCGAACGGCAGCACGGGUGCUUGCACCUGGUGGCGAGUGGCGGACGGGUGAGUAAUACAUCGGAACGUAUCCAGAAGAGGGGGAUAACGCAUCGAAAGAUGUGCUAAUACCGCAUAUUCUCUGAGGAGGAAAGCAGGGGGAUCGAAAGACCUUGCGCUUUGGGAGCGGCCGAUGUCUGAUUAGCUAGUUGGUGGGGUAAGGCCUACCAAGGCGGCGAUCAGUAGUUGGUCUGAGAGGACGACCAGCCACACUGGGACUGAGACACGGCCCAGACUCCUACGGGAGGCAGCAGUGGGGAAUUUUGGACAAUGGGCGCAAGCCUGAUCCAGCAAUGCCGCGUGAGUGAAGAAGGCCUCGGUU